rnacentral:rRNA from 1 species
AACGAACGCUGGCGGCAUGCCUAACACAUGCAAGUCGAACGAGACCUUCGGGUCUAGUGGCGCACGGGUGCGUAACGCGUGGGAACCUGCCCUUAGGUUCGGAAUAACUCCCCGAAAGGGGUGCUAAUACCGGAUAAUGUCUUCGGACCAAAGAUUUAUCGCCUUUGGAUGGGCCCGCGUUGGAUUAGCUAGUUGGUAGGGUAAAAGCCUACCAAGGCGACGAUCCAUAGCUGGUCUGAGAGGAUGAUCAGCCACACUGGGACUGAGACACGGCCCAGACUCCUACGGGGGGCAGCAGGUGGGGAGAGUGGACAAUGGGCGAGAGGCUGAUACAGCAAUGCCGCGUGGGUGAAAAAGGCCUGAGGGGUGUAAAGAUCUUUUGCCUCGGAUGAUAAUGACAGUCCCGGGAGAAUAAGCGCCGGCUAACUCGGUG